GCCUCGGUGGUGUAGCGGUUAUCACGCUCGCCUAACACGCGAGAGGUUCUGGGUUCAACUCCCAGUCGAGGUA
rnacentral:tRNA from 1 species